UUUUUUAUGCGUGAUUUACAAAAUCUCAAGUAAGAAUUUUUUCUAUUUAUUUUCGCAUGAGCAAUGCUUGACAUAAAACGAAUUAAGCUGGUUAAAGAUUGCUAAAUGAUAUUUGAGAGCAGCUUUGUGCACUCUUUUUCAAGCAUUCUCUCAUAACUUUUAGCUAGUGCAUCUUGUAGUGAAUUUAACUUUUGGUUUCUACCUUGGAGGUUGUGGAAUGAAUUGUUACUAGUAUGUCUAUUAUUAAAUGAGAAAUACUCAAACUCAGCUUCAAUGAAAUAGAGAUAGAUCAUGAUCAAUGGCUGCAAAAGCGAGGUGGCAUAACAACCCAAAAGCCAUUUGUUUUGGUUUAAUUAAAUACCCAUUGCUUACUUAAAAGGAUCUUUACUCUAACGUAUAGAUAUAUUUCUUAAAAACGAUCAAAGUUUCGUUAGUCUACACCCUAGGUUUCUAUUCA